GUGAUAAUCAAUAGCUUCUCUCUUAAUAUAUUCAUGUCUAGUACAAUAUACACAGCCUACAUAAUACCUAAUUUCUAAAGAAACUUACCAAAAAGGUUUAAAUGUGAAGCACACGACUAACCUGAUUAAUUGAAUAACUCCGAUUGAUUACAUGAUUGAGAUUGAUACAGAGAUUAACGCGAUAAAAAAUUGUCCUGGAGAAAGCAUAUAACCCACAUAAUGGUAUUCUCAACACAGUGAA
rnacentral:misc_RNA from 1 species